AGUCGAACGGAGUUUACAGGCAGAGGUUUUCGGAUGGAAGCUUGUAAACUUAGUGGCGGACGGGUGAGUAACACGUGAGCAACCUGCCUAUCAGAGGGGGAUAACGAUUGGAAACGAUCGCUAAUACCGCAUGACAUAGCGGAACCGCAUGGUUCUGUUAUCAAAGAUUUUAUCGCUGAUAGAUGGGCUCGCGUCCGAUUAGAUAGUUGGUGGGAUAACGGCCUACCAAGUCGACGAUCGGUAGCCGGACUGAGAGGUCGAACGGCCACAUUGGGACUGAGACACGGCCCAGACUCCUACGGGAGGCAGCAGUGGGGGAUAUUGCACAAUGGGGGAAACCCUGAUGCAGCGACGCCGCGUGAGGGAAGACGGUCCUCUGGAUUGUAAACCUCUGUCUUCGGGGACGAAACGAGACGGUACCCGAGGAGGAAGCCACGGCUAACUACGUGCCAGCAGCCGCGGUAAUACGUAGGUGGCAAGCGUUGUCCGGAAUUACUGGGUGUAAAGGGAGCGUAGGCGGGCAGGCAAGUCAGGCGUGAAAUAUAUCGGCUCAACCGGUAACGGCGCUUGAAACUGCAGGUCUUGAGUGAAGUAGAGGUUGGCGGAAUUCCUAGUGUAGCGGUGAAAUGCGUAGAUAUUAGGAGGAACACCAGUGGCGAAGGCGGCCAACUGGGCUUUUACUGACGCUGAGGCUCGAAAGUGUGGGGAGCAAACAGGAUUAGAUACCCUGGUAGUCCACACCGUAAACGAUGAUUACUAGGUGUGGGGGGACUGACCC
rnacentral:rRNA from 1 species